GUUGAAAAGGAAAUGAAAACAAUAUUUUUGUGGAAAUACAAAAGUAACUGUGGUGUGUUUUAAAUCUUACUUAAACUUUAAAAAUCAUAAGAAAUACCUGCUCAAUGUAUUAUUAAAGGAUUAUUCAAUACUUAAUGUUCAAUGUGCUUAAAUCGCUGAGACUCCUUUAAAAUCUGUUUACUUUUUUCGCUCAGCUUCAAAAAAAUCGCCGGACGUUAUCUGCGCUUAUCCCUGUGCCUUUCCCCUUCCUCCGAUUUUGGGGAUUGGUCCCUACUUUUCUCUUUGCCAAACAGGCGGCAACAAGAAAAAUGCUGAAAAUUUAUGCUCUGCACUGACACAAAAAAUAAGGAGAAAGGUGGAUAGAGAAAAGUGGUGGGCAAAUCGGGGGAAAGUGGGGAACAGGAUGGCGGAGAAAAAUGCUGAAAGUGGAUACAUUUAUAGAGCGAGAGGCAAAGAGAGCCUAAAGUUUCGGCUGGCACUGGGAAAUUGAAGUUGGAAGCUGCACUGUCAAAAAAUUAAAUUAAAUUUAAAGCUUUAAAAAAUAUUAUUUAUGCCAUUAUGAAAUCAUGUAUUUAUCAAGAAAUGUCUUUCAUACAAGAUAAUAUUAUAAAUGUAUUACUAAAUAUAUGUGAAUGGAUUUGAA